rnacentral:lncRNA from 1 species
CUUGGUGUCGCGUUGCUUGUACUGAUGUAAUGUAUGGUAGAGGCAAUAUUGAUGUUUGUGUGUGGCUGACUGCAUAGUUGAUAUUGUUGAUUUGAACAAAUUCAAAACCAUAUGCAAUAGUUUAGCAAGUACGUAGACCUUACGUAGAUGGUUAAAGUUAAUUAGAUAAACAAAGCAAGCAUAAUCAAACAAAUUAGUUGCUUGGAACUUGGAAGCGAACAAGCCGUUAUGGAACAUCCUAUGUAGGGAAGUUAAGGGGGGCUCAUGCCCCCAUCUACGACGAUCGAGCCCCUUCGAUGUGCAUAUAAUAUUUUUAAUAACAUAUAUUUACUAUGUAAUCUACAUAUAUUAGCUAUAAUAAGUCUAAUAUAAAUUGAUAGUAACUAUAAUGUUUUCAACAAAUACAACAUUAAUUCUAUUAGAUCCAAUUUUAGGAAGAAGGAAGGGGAAAAGGAAGAAAAUGAAAGGACAUGAAAAGAAAUAAAAGAAAAAAUUCUCGAGAAAAAUGAUCCAUCAUGAAGGCCGUGGUGGGUAGCGACAAUCACCAAUUUUUUUGUUUGGAAAAGAAGGAAAACCAUAUCUAAUGGUCUGGAUGGACUCGCC